rnacentral:lncRNA from 1 species
AACUACUUACCUAGAAUUUGUUGUUACUUUUGUUUGUCUCUAUCAUCCAUUUUGUAAAUUUAAUGUCUUAAAAAGUAAAUAUGUUACUUUUUGUUUACAUGGUGCUUCACAUUGUGACUGUGAUAUUUGAAAUUAGUGGAUGGAUUUGCUUCACAUGUGUCUUUGUUGUGCCAUAGAAAAAAGGAAAAUAACAAAGUCAACAAUUCAAUUGUUUUGUAGUGAUUAGUAUUAGUAUGUUUGCUUGCAUCCAGAUUCACAACAUAUGUUGAAUUUAGGUCCUUUGAGAUAUAAUUGCAAGUUGCUUCAAUUACAUUUUAUAUUGUUAUUGUUAUUACGAGAUUAUAUGUUGUCUCCUAUAUUGAUUGAUAUUUUAGUUGUUAGUUUCAUUGUUGGGUAUAUGGCUUGAUUGAAGGUUUAUGAAAGAAUCCUACAUCCAUAUGAUAUGACAAGAUGAUCAAGAGAAUAGUUGAAUGGUUGUUCCAGAUGCUCAUAAGUUAGUAAGAUGCAUCUUAUUUUUUAGUUUACUUUAUUGAUAGAAUAGAGGUUCACCCAAUUUAUGGUAUUUAAGCUUAAUGUUAUAGAAUAAUUCAUUUUUUAGUAUAUAAUGCUUGAUUGAAGGUUUAUAGGCCUCAACUGCAAUGUAAGAUUAUAAGAUAAAUUUUGUGGAAUGUUGUAAGGUUGCAAAGAAUCUGCCAUUUAUUUGAUGUAAGGCUUAUUUUUUUAUUUUAUUUUUUAAGAAGCUAAAUCAUGUAAGGCUUAUUGAAAAGGAAUCAAAUGUGAUUCUAUUUGAUCGAGAGUAGUAUAAUCUCUCAUAUACCUUACUUUGAAGGGUGUUUGGUAGUCUAAGGUUUUGCUUUUAGUUUUAUCAUCACCAGCCCAUUGUCUUCUGUUAUAAUUUUGUCAUCAACUAUUUUUGACAUGAGUGUGGAAUGGUUGCAGGAAAGAGGUAAGAUGAAGGGAGGUUACAAAGGGAGAUAGCGCCAACACAAAUUGUUACAAAACAAUGAGAUAAUUUUGAGGAUUAUAUUUAGUUUUAUUAUAGUGUGUAUUAUUUCUUUGAUUUUCCUUUCCAUUACUUAAUUUCAUUUUAUUAUUACUACUACGUGCAAGAAUUAUANNNNNNNNNNNNNNNNNNNNNNNNNNGGGAACUAGGCCUUGAAUCUUUUCUAGGCAUGUGAUCUAUUUGUAAUCUUUUUAGAUAUGAUUUGUAGCAUAACUAAAGUAGUUAAUGAUUAUGUAAAUCCGAAUAUUUUUCAAUGAUGAAGAAGUUUUUUUUUUCCAUACUUCUCUUUUUAUAUGUUGCUUUCCCUACAAUGUUUUUGGGGAUAGUUUUAGUGAAAAAAAUGAAAGCAAAGUGCUUGCACAUUGAAAAACUUAUGUAAAUUACGGCAUAGUUUUUUAAAUAGGUGAAGUAGUGUAAACCAAAUGAAUUAAAACAAGAGACAUAUUAGUUUUGUGUUGUAUAUAUAAUUUUUUCAAAAAAUUGGUAUAAAAAGAUGUCAAAAACUUUGAUUUUUGAAAAAAGACAUUAGUUUCUCAUUAUUAUCAUACAAAUGUUAUUUUAUGACAAUAUAAAUUUGAAGGUAAUCGGAAAUCUCCUAAUAUUGGGUUCCAUUCAUUAAGUUUUUCUUGGUUCAAGAGAUUUCAUUUUGCUAACAACUUAUAUUUAUCACAUAGCAUUUACUUUUCACACAAACUUGCAACAUAUAUCCACAUGAGCUUAUGAACAAUGUUGAUAGUUAUCUAACAAAAUUUUAAGGGUAACUACAAAAUACGUCAUCUAAAUGGAGAGGAAAAACAAAAUGGACCA